GACGAACGCUGGCGGCGUGCUUAACACAUGCAAGUCGAACGGAAAGGCCUUUUCGGAGGUACUCGAGUGGCGAACGGGUGAGUAACACGUGGGUGAUCUGCCCUGUACUCUGGGAUAAGCCUGGGAAACUGGGUCUAAUACCGGAUAGGACCGCACUUUAGUGUGUGUGGUGGAAAGUUUUUUCGGUGUAGGAUGAGCCCGCGGCCUAUCAGCUUGUUGGUGGGGUAAUGGCCUACCAAGGCGGCGACGGGUAGCCGGACUGAGAGGUUGGUCGGCCACAUUGGGACUGAGAUACGGCCCAGACUCCUACGGGAGGCAGCAGUGGGGAAUAUUGCACAAUGGGCGCAAGCCUGAUGCAGCGACGCCGCGUGGGGGAGGACGGCCUUCGGGUUGUAAACUCCUUUCGCCAGGGACGAAGCGUUUUGUGACGGUACCUGGAGAAGAAGCACCGGCUAACUACGUG
rnacentral:rRNA from 1 species